GAUGAAGAACGUAGCGAAAUGCGAUAAGUAAUGUGAAUUGCAGAAUUCAGUGAAUCAUCGAAUCUUUGAACGCACCUUGCACCCUUUGGCAUUCCGAAGGGUAUGCUCGUUUGAGUGUCAUUGUACUCUCACUCUCCCGAUGCUUUUGGAUCGGGAGUUGUGGACUUGGGUGUUGCUGCUUUGCUGUGGCUCGCCUCAAAUGGAGUAGUGCAACUCUUGGUUGGACAUAGUACGGCGUGAUAAGUGUCUUCGCCGGCGCCUCAUUAUAGAGGGUGGCCGAUCGGGAGCUCUGUGCUUCAAACCGUCUUCGGACAACAUCUGACAACUUGACCUCAAAUCGAGUAGGACUACCCGCUGAACUUAAGCAUAUCAAUAAGCGGAGGA
rnacentral:misc_RNA from 1 species